rnacentral:rRNA from 1 species
GCCCUUCGGGGUGGAUUAGUGGCGAACGGGUGAGUAACACGUGGGCAAUCUGCCCUGCACUCUGGGACAAGCCCUGGAAACGGGGUCUAAUACCGGAUAUGACACACGACCGCAUGGUCUGUGUGUGGAAAGCUCCGGCGGUGCAGGAUGAGCCCGCGGCCUAUCAGCUUGUUGGUGGGGUAAUGGCCUACCAAGGCGACGACGGGUAGCCGGCCUGAGAGGGCGACCGGCCACACUGGGACUGAGACACGGCCCAGACUCCUACGGGAGGCAGCAGUGGGGAAUAUUGCACAAUGGGCGCAAGCCUGAUGCAGCGACGCCGCGUGAGGGAUGACGGCCUUCGGGUUGUAAACCUCUUUCAGCAGGGAAGAAGCGCAAGUGACGGUACCUGCAGAAGAAGCGCCGGCUAACUACGUGCCAGCAGCCGCGGUAAUACGUAGGGCGCAAGCGUUGUCCGGAAUUAUUGGGCGUAAAGAGCUCGUAGGCGGCUUGUCGCGUCGGAUGUGAAAGCCCGGGGCUUAACCCCGGGUCUGCAUUCGAUACGGGCAGGCUAGAGUUCGGUAGGGGAGAUCGGA